rnacentral:lncRNA from 1 species
UUUUCUCCUAUUCUUUCUCCAUUUUUUCUUUUUUUUUUCCUUCUUUUACUUUUUAACUUUUUGAAGAGAAAUGGCAUGAUUAUAUUUUCAUGUUAUUUUUAUUAUUUCUUUGGAAUGAAAAAAUAUAAAUUGAGGUCCUAGAUUUAAAAUCUUCGUAAACUCAAAUCUUAAAAUUUGGUCUUAGACGAAGGCAGGAGAUAAUAUGGAGAGGGGCCAAGACCAAAAAAAAUUAUAAGAUAGGGCAAAAAAAAAAAAUUUUGGAUUAGGGCCAAUAGAUUUAAAAAAAAAAAAAAAAAAUUGGCUUGUAAAAAAAAUAAUUAAAAAAAAUUGGCUUGAAUAUAUAUAUAUUUUUUGUCUCCCCCCCUCCCUCUGUCUGUCUCUGAUAGUCUUAAUGUUAAAGGCUAUGUUUAUUAAAUCCUUGAAUGUGUUUUUGGUGUUUUGAAUAGUAAUAGAAGUAAAUGAUGAGAUAUAAAGCAGGAAUAAUGUUUCGAAUUUUGCGUAUGAAAAAGUUUUAAUUUUUAGUGAGUUUUUUUAUUUGAAUAAUAAUAAAAAGUUAGUGAUGUGGUAUAAAAAGUAAAAAAAAAAAUUAUGAAAAAGUAAUCGUAUGUAUCA